rnacentral:rRNA from 1 species
UACGUAGGUGGCAAGCGUUGUCCGGAUUUACUGGGCGUAAAGAGCGCGCAGGCGGUCAAGUAAGUCGAAUGUGAAGCCCCGGCUCAACUGGGGAGGUCACGCGAUACUGCUCGACUUGAAGGCAGGAGAGGGAAGUGGAAUUCCCGGUGUAGUGGGUGAAAUGCGUAGAUAUCGGGAGGAACACCAGUGGCGAAGGCGACUUCCUGGCCUGUUCUUGACGCUGAGGCGCGAAAGCUAGGGUAGCAAACGGG